GAUGAACGCUGGCGGCGUGCCUAAUACAUGCAAGUAGAACGCUGAAGCUUGGUGCUUGCACCGAGCGGAUGAGUUGCGAACGGGUGAGUAACUCGUAGGUAACCUGCCUCUUAGCGGGGGAUAACUAUUGGAAACGAUAGCUAAUACCGCAUAAAAGUCGAUAUCUCAUGAUAUUGAUUUGAAAGGUGCAAAUGCGUCACUAAGAGAUCGACCUACGUUGUAUUAGCUAGCUGGUGAGGGAACGGGUCAUCAAGGCGAGGGUACAUAGCCGACCUGCGAGGGUGAUAGGCCACGCUGGGACGGGAGCACGACCCAGCACCCUACGGGAGGCAGCCGUACGGGAUCUUCAGCAAUGGGAGCAACCCUGACCGAUGAACGCCGCGUGAGUGCAUAAGGUUUUCGGGUCGUAAAGCUCUGUUGGAAGAGAAGAACGUGUGUGACAGUGGAAAGUGCACACUGUGACGGUAACUGAACAAAAAGCGACGGCUAACUACGUG
rnacentral:rRNA from 1 species